CAGACGGGGAUGGCGAAUAUGAAUCCGCCAGAAACUCAGAAUUCUCAAAACCCAUCAACUAGCAGCAUAGUGCCUCCUUCUUCUUCGAUAGGGGCAAACACGGGCACGACGCAUGCGUCCGAAAUAGUUUCGUCUAUGGUGAGUUCGAUGCCUACGCAUUCGAUCUCCUAUUCUGAACCAAUUCUGACUUAUGUUGGACCUAGGGGACGUCCCCACACUCCUUCACCGAUUAGGGACAUUCCAAAUAGGCCGUUGGUACCCCCUGGUUUUUCAAUACCAAUUAGCGGUCGAGAAUAGCCGUAUGGAAUGCCAACUUCAAUGAUGGACAAUUUACAGAAUGUGGGUUCUACUUUUUCGGAACCAGCGACUAACAUAAAUUCACUAGUACA
rnacentral:lncRNA from 1 species